GGUGACCUAGUUAUGAGGAUGUNAAGCUCNUACAGGCCGUAUGGUGAGCAUACCUAUAACUGUUGCUGUCGGCGGGUAGGGUCUCCGCGACCCUCCCGGCCUCCCGCCUCCGGGCGGGUCGGCGCCCGCCGGAGGAUAACCAAACUCUGAUAUUAACGACGUUUCUUCUGAGUGGUACAAGCAAAUAAUCAAAACUUUUAACAACGGAUCUCUUGGUUCUGGCAUCGAUGAAGAACGCAGCGAAAUGCGAUAAGUAAUGUGAAUUGCAGAAUUCAGUGAAUCAUCGAAUCUUUGAACGCACAUUGCGCCCGCCAGCAUUCUGGCAGGGCAUGCCUGUUCAGAGCGUCAUUUCAACCCUCAAGCUCUGNUUGAGUGUUGGGGCCCUACAGCUGAUGUAGGCCCUCAAAGGUAGUGGCAGGACCCUCCCGGAGCCUCCUUUGCAGUANGUAACUUUACGUCUCAGCACUGGGAUCCGGAGGGACUCUUGCCGUAAAACCCCCAAUUUUCCAAAGGUUGACCUCGGAUCAGGUAGGAAUACCCGUGAACUUAAGC
rnacentral:rRNA from 1 species